rnacentral:tRNA from 1 species
CAUUAGAUUAUGAAUAAUAACAUAAUUAUCAA